CUGUCGCAAUUUGACCAUUACAACUUGAGCAGUGUGGGCUGUUGCUCCAUCUUGUUGGAACCAGAUGUCUCCCAAAUUUGUUUCCUCACUUAAUUCUUCCAAUUUCGGUUCAAAAAAGUCUUCCAACAUCGCAAGAUAACGUUCAGAGUUGAUGGUGACAGAUCUUCCAUCCUCCUCAAAGAAAUAAGGCCCAAUUACCCCAAAUUUGGAAACUGCACACCAAACAGUAACUUUAGGGGCAUGGAGCGGUCUCUGGUGAAGUUCUCUUGGGUUGUUUUCAGCCCAAUAGCGAUAAUUUUGCUUAUUCACGUUUCCAGAAAGGUGGAAGUGGGCCUCGUCACUGCUGAAAAAAGUUGACGGUUCGGGGAUGCGGUUCAACAUUUCCUGGCAGCAAUUCCUGCGAUUUUCAAAGUCUUCUUGUGGAACCAGUUUCUUCCAAUGCUUCAAUCCAACGCCUGAUUGCCUUGCCAUCAGGGAUGGGACCAUGACGUGGAAUGUUGAAGUGCAGGCGGAAGGAGCGCUGAGUGGCGACGACAGAACGGCCAUUUUCGAGAAACGUGCGCACUGCAAAGCCGCGAUGUUCUCCCGACCAAGGCAUGGCUGCUUCUGAAAACGGCGGUGUUUGUUGGUCGCAACGAGACCACACACAUCUUACCAUCAUCACUACAGCCGUUGCUCGCGCCUUUCAAAACUCGGGCAUUUGAUU